CCCACCUCACGUUCCUCUCUUCCAAUGGAGCACCGCCGCCGCCGCCGCGUCCCCCAUCUCACACGCAGGACUAGCUUGCUGCCCUCCACUGGUCGCUGCCACUCGCACCUCAACUCGGUCACCGCCAGCCUCCCCCUCCACUACAUCGCCCCGUCCCGACGCUCGCCCAUCUCCAAUGCCCGCCCCUCCACUUGAUUGACAUCGGCAACGACUGCUGCUCACCAUGCGCGGAUCUGCCCUUCGCAUAGUACUCGUGUGAACAACAUCUCCACUUCUACACCUCUACCCAACCCUCUACUGGGCUAGCCACGAAGGGCCAACGCCUCAUCGAGGAUGCCACGAAGAGGACGUUGGGACAGCUCCUAUCCAGGGUCGCGACCGCCAUGCCGGGGGCGAAGGGUGAGGCCGAGUUCGAUGAGGAGGCGUGGACACGAGGCCUAACUAUCUACUAUAAAUUGGCUUUCCCACUGUCACUGUGAGAUUGGAUUGUUGUUCCCUUUUGUGCACAUGAUUGUUCCACUUGUGAUUUAUCAUAUAUGAAUUGCUCCUUGGCAUCCUUUUGAUCCAGCGUGAUUUCUUCCUUCUUCUCAUCUUGUUAACUACUGGUUGUGUUUGUUCUCUCGCGAAAAGCCAGGACUUGGAGUUGCCUGCGAUGGUGGAGCUCGGCAUGUUGGCAGAUCUGACCGGACUGACAGGAUGAGGCCUGAAGAUGGUAAAAUCUGACUGGGCACUUCAAAUAAUCGGCACCAUUCCUGCCUUCAAAGAAGGUUGUUCUUACGUAGAAUCAAGCAGCACAUACAAGGUGAGCACAACAAUUCAGUUAUUCUAUUUAAUAUAUGUGACGUUGAAUUACCUCCAGUUAAAGGUCUUUCAGUAAAGGCAGAUGAUGCUUCAAAUACUCUUAAUUCUCAUAGGUUUGUUAUAUUUUUUCACGUAAAUGAGGUGUUGCAACUAGGUCAACUCUGCAAGAGCUUGGGAUAUUUGAGGGAACUUCGAAUCCAUUAACUAAAUUAGGAUCUUCAUAUUCCGCCUUAGUUCUACAAAAAUGAGUUAUGCUCUAGUGUUUAGUCUGGAAAGCUCUGCCAUAAGAAGUGUUAUUCAUCAUUGCAAAAUAUUGAUAUUUCUGACAGUGUUUAACGCUCCGCAUAUACAGUUUUUGGAUUUUGCGUGAAUGAUACUUUCUAAAUAUUUAUGACCAUUCCAGCAUUCUAAUAGGUAUAGUAUUUUGUACGUCUUCCGUAGUUGCUCAAUUGGAGCUUGUAAACUGUAUUUGCACAUUUUUCUCCUCCUCUACGAAUGUCUCACUGACCCCUCUUUUUUGAUCUCAAAAUUCAGAUGAAACUUAUUUUUAAAAUCAGUACAUCUGGUCCGUGUCCGUAGCUAGCUGAUGGUUGAUGACUGUGCAUUCAUAUUGUUUACGUAGUUACUGAAAGGUCCUUUUAAUGCAUACUUUACAUUGAGCUGAUACCUGAUAGACAAGGUAAAGUCUAGCACGUAAUCAUAGUAAUUCAUGAGGAUACAUGCAAAACCAGUAUGCUCAUAGGUCGUAUCAUUUUUUGUGAUGCUUUUACUUGCUAAAUAAAUAAACUCUCUACAUCUCUGUACUACAUGAGAUAUUUGAUUGAGAAGUCAAAUAUCGUCUGAUAACCAUUGAAACAACAUAUGCAUUGAUUUGUUAAACAUAAUGGAACACAUGAAAUGUAUAUACGGGCAUGCCCUUAUGUGAAAUUGUAUUAAAUUGCUUUGAUGCUAAUGCAUGACAUUUGAUACUUGACAACCUUGGAUAUUUACUGAGAUAAAAGAACAUAGGGACUGGGAUAUCACAUCUGGUGAGAGAUUGAGUAUUCUAAAAGAUUUUAUGCGUUUCGGUCUCGAACACUCGGGCUCUGACACCAAAGGUGAGUCCUCUCAUCUCUGAGAGUAUGUAGAAAUCGUGACAUUUUCUUUGUCAUUUUUUCAUGGGGAGGGUGUGAUUAUUGAAAACUCAUGUUGGGUGUGAUAUUGUACAACAAGGAAGAAGCUUUUCACUAGUUGAAGACAGAAGGUCUAGCCUGUCUCACCGUGAUGUAGAAUUGGUGUUUAAUGGGGCAUUACCAAGCUUUGAAUAAAAACUAAUUUUGCUUUCUUGGCAAGGACUCUCGGAGGGAAGGAGCUUCAUGUUGUGAACAUUGUUAUUUUCAAUACAUAACUUUUUGUUGGUUAGCUGACAUUUUUUGAUAAAGAAAUAGUCUAAUGUUGUUUAUGAUGCAUGAGUUACUUUUAGUGGAGCUGAUCCGUUAAGAGUAUUUGUGAAGGCUUUGGAGUUGGCAAUCUGAGCAGCCUGUAUGAUAAAUGGAAGUGUGUGCGUUCAUCCAAAGCAUUCACAGAACAAAUCUUCAUUUUGGCUACUGCAGAGUGCAGAGAACGAAAUCUUUUACCUGAUUAAUUGGUAUGUUUGCUACACCUAGUCUCCUAUUUUAUGUUUGAGUUUGCAAAGCAUCGUCAGUCAGCUUACACUUUUUUAACCUGGUGAUUAAAUUUUCUUGCUUGGUUAAACUAAUUGCGCAUAUGAGUACCAUUGCCAGUCUUUAUUAGUUCAGUUUUUUUCCGGUUGAGUAUAAAGUUUCAGGUCGGAAGAUUGUUCUUCACUAUAUAACAAUAUUAGUGACAGUGAGUGCUUACCUCUCUUUUAGUAAGCUCAGUUUUGCAGAUACAUAAUUUGAUGCAUAGCUUCACUUGGACUCUAGCCUAUAUGAUCGUAUUCAGUGACCAGAAGAUACGAGAGAAUACAACAUGUUAUGUGCCCAUAUCCGCUUGAAGAGGAUAUAAAACAUGAUAUGUCACAUAGUUGCGGACACCAUCCAAUUUGUUACAUAGAUUUCUAUUUCUUUAUUUAUUUUGUAGUUUUAUUUUUGUACUGUUAUAUAAAGAAGGAAUGUGCAUUGUAGGAGGUUUGCUACAUGCUACAUAUGUCUUAUUAACUGGCAGUUAGUCAGCUUCUAUUCCAGUGCUGAGAAAUGGCACAAUUAUCUCAUGCCAUUUCAUGGGAGCAGCAGAAGUGGCAUAGAUGCAAUGGUGUGAAGCAAAAAACUAUUCAGUUCCAUAAAUAUGCACUUCCCAAGUUCCUUAUGCAAAUGAAAUGGCACACUUUUUCUUAUGCCCUCAUAUAGUGUGAAAAUUGAAGAUUAAAGAGUGAACGAUAGCAUGAUAUAACUCAAGUUCAUUGUAGUUGUAAAAAAUUCGUACGGGAGCAAGUAUUGCGAUCACAAUUACAGACAAGAUUCCUAAGUGCUUGACAAUACCUAUGACUUCGAAUAAAUUUGACCUAUGGGUGACAUGAACAUCUGCGGUAAGAACGACAAUGUGAUGCUCAUGGAAGUUGAGGUCAAGGAAGUGAAUACACCGAUGAUGCAUCAAUAGAUGUAUAAAUUGUGCUUGCAUGAGCAUAUUGUGGUAACAACGGGGAGGUGAUCAAGAGCAUCAACAACCUCUUUACCGAGAUCUUUCUCGCCGCAACUAAAAACAACAGUUAUUACCAGCUUGUGGGGUAGCUCCUGGGGCGUUGGAACCUUGUUGAGAAGAAGAACAAACUGUUAAUGGAGUUGUUCAAUGAGGACGAGAGGAGCGGCCACAGCAAGGAUCAAAAGAAGGCAGAGUUCGACUCCACUAGCUGCCAACUCCGGCGGGGGGAGGAGAAGAAAAAAAGGAUUGAUUUAAUGGUGAAAGAAACUUGAAAGCUUGUAUUAACUAUUAAAUUAUAUGUGCCCCCGUUGCAACACACGUUAGAUUAGUACACUGUCAUAUUUUCAGAAAAUUGCAGAACUAGCGAUACACCUGUCUCACAAAUAUUACGCCGAUUGUUCAGUACUUUUUUCCAAGCAUUCAGCUUUUGACUUCUUAGAAGAGAGUGCAGAGGAAUGAAUAUUUAGUGAUGGUGGCUAGGCAUUGUGAGGUUGUUGAGGGGAGGGGGCAUUUCUUGUAUUUCUAGCACACUUUCUUGUUUUUCAUGUAUUUAUAGACAAUUCUUUUCAAUACUAUG